UAUAUUACCUGAAAAAAAAAUGACAGGAUAGAUAUUGAAGAAAUAAUUUUUUAUAGGACUCUGGAGUGAAGGGAUUAAUAUUGACCAGAGCCAAUGAGGUCAUCUCAUCCUUGAGGGGAGCAGGUGUGAGCUUCAAAUGCUUAGGGCCUCUGGAAGGAAGCUUCCCUGUUGGAGAAAUCACCAACCGGCUCAGCAUGGUCUGAAUGAGGAUGACAAAAGAGAAGCCCCUAUGAGAAGGAUGGAAAACUCUUUGAAGAAAAAAACAACUAUUAUACAAUCAAGCUGUCCCUCUUCUCUUCCAGUUAUAUAGCCAAAGGAAAUAAAAUCACUAUCUCAAA
ensembl:lncRNA WEE2-AS1 WEE2 antisense RNA 1